CAUUGACAUUUCGAACGCACAUUGCGGUCCGUGGAGAAACAUCCAGGACCACUCCUGUCUGAGGGCCG
rnacentral:rRNA from 1 species